rnacentral:lncRNA from 1 species
GGUGAAGCCCCCUGUUGUGUCCGUCAUCCAAAGAUUGCUGAAAGCCACUGUCUGCCAACACUGGGACCCCAUGACAGAGGGCUAUAUCUGCAGUGUUUGUCACUGCCUGAAGCUAUCAUUUUCUCUAAGAGCGGCUAUAUUAAUGCUUAAAAGAGGUCAAACACACAUCUACCUAUAGUAUUGAUUUUGUUGAAAGUAUAUUGAUUAUUAAUAAAUUAUAUCUGAUUGAAUUUAGAAAUUCAAAAUGUUCAGAUAUACAUAAAAAAAAGACGAAAAAAAAUAAAAUAAAAAGACACAAGUUAUUUUAAUUAUUAUGUUUCUCUCUCACCCAUCUUCUUCUCUCCUCUCGGCCAGCUUUGUCUACAUAAACUCGUUUAGAGCAGCCAAAGCAAAACUACUCUUCGGAAAAAAACAUAGUGAUAUUUUGCUGAAGGUAGUAAACAUUGCAGUUUAAUAAUCACCCUCCAUGUUUCUCGCUCGUGAUUCUUAAGCUUCUUACACAAUUUGGGCUCCAUAGCCUGGCUAAUUUCUUGUAUUGUAUUCUUCAGGGAGUUGUAGUCCCUAAACUUAUGCAUUAUUGUUUUUUUUUUUACAUUCCUUGCAAAUUACCUGGCCGUCCUUGAAGAGCCCUUCUGUGAAAAAGACCCAAGACGAGAUACGAUAUUUCAAGGACAUCUGUUUUAGUCUGAGGAUAUGAUUCCAAAUACGCUUGAUGACGUCCUGUACUCUUUUUUUUUCCUCGAAGCCUCUAUAAGUUUGUCUGUAUUGUCUUGUCAAAAGAUCUUGUCUCUAAUAGUCGAUGUGGCAACUUUGAAGGGGUUCUUUGUUUCUUUUUCGUUGAAUGAGAAUUACUGGAUUUGAUUUUUAGUAUCACCAAUAGAAGACAAACUCCUCUUGCAUUUAAACUUCAACUGUGAAUAACUCCAAAUUAUGUUAUGUAUCAGGUAGAUAUAUGGUAAUUAGCUCAUUUCCUUCGAUUAGGUCACCUAAGCCUAUAGUAGGCCCUUCGAGAUUUAAUUGGAACGCUAUUUAUUUCUCUCAUCGGCGACCACUGUAAAUGAUCUGGAUACUUUUUACCUUCAUCUUCUAGUAUCACCCUCUUCAACGGGAAUCCGACUUGUGGAUCCCUCCUCCUCCAAGAUAAUAAAAGGAGAUGCUACUGUAAUUUUGAGUCAAGCAUUCCCAAGUCUCCACGUUUCUUGGGAGUAAACAAACGGCUCGUCCAAACGUUUUUGGGAGCCGAACAAAAUCAAUUUCUUUCUUCCUCCACGUAUGGCACAAUGUCUCAUUAUAAGGUGUACAUCUCAGGAUUUGGUUUACUCUUGGAAUCACCUCAUGAUUCCUACAUUUUAUUCUCUUGACAAGGAUUUUUUUGCAUUAUAGUUUUUGAUGAAGAAAGUAUUUCCCGAGAUUGUUGCUUCUUCCACUAGAUUGAAGGAACAUAGAUUUUUUAAGGAAUCGUUGUCAUAUUCGUAAGCAUCUGAGAUUUCGAUGCAUUCUCCCUUAAACCUAGAUCUUUCUCCGAAUAUUUCCAACACUUCUCCCAGCCGAGGCUCUUGGGAGUCAAUGUUGCAACCACUAAGAAUGUCAGUUCCAUCAACUGCAUAAAACAGGCGAGCAACGGCCAAAAGAAAAAACAUUGACUCACAGGAUCCCCUUGUCUCACACCCCUUUAUAGUCUUACUUUCGGACUCUUUUUAAUAUCAGUGAUCAGUUAUGAUUAUUCAUUCACUAAGUUUUUUAUAGUCUCUUUAAAAAAAAAAAACUUGAGGGAAUUUUAUUCUACUAAAAUUAUCAAUAAUGAAGGAAUGCUCAUCUGUAUCGAACGCUUUUUUCAAAGUCCAAAAGAAUCUAGGCAAUAUCUUCUCUCUUUGUGUAGGAAUCUCCAAGAAUGUUUUUUAAUCAUAUAGUAAUAUCUUCCAUUUGAUAGCCAGGAUGGAACCCGAAUUGAGUAUUAGGAAGCGUGUUGUUUAAAAUCGGGUUUAAUCUCUCAGCAAUACAACCAGAAUAAAUUAUAAAUUCAGUUUCAAGUAGAAAAUUAUUGGUUUUCAAUUUUUAAAAGCAGUCUGGUUUUUUCUUU